GACGAACGCUGGCGGCGUGCUUAACACAUGCAAGUCGAACGAAGUGGGAACGGGUGAGUAAUACGUGGGUAACCUCCCAUCAGAGGGGAUAAAACUUGGAAACAGGUGCUAAACCGAUACUGACGGAGGGACCAGCGGUGCAUUAGCUAGGUGGUGAGGGAACGGCUCAACAAGGCCACGAUGCAGAGCCGACCUGAGGGGGUGACCGGCAACACUGGGACUGAGACACGGCCCAGACUCCUACGGGAGGCAGCAGUGGGGAAUCUUCGGCAAUGGGCGCAAGUCUGACCGAGCAACGCCGCGUGAAUGAAGAAGGUUUGCGGAUCGUAAAGCUCUUUUGUUAGAGAAGCGGUAUCUACCCAGAAAGCCACGGCUAACUACGUGCCAGCAGCCGCGGUAAUAC
rnacentral:rRNA from 1 species